UUUUUUUUUUUUUUUUUUUAAGUCUGUAUUGACCAAUCUCGUAUGACUUUAUGAUUCAGAUGAACGUAAUCCACUGCAAGUGGAUGGCUCUGCUCGAGAGAGCUAACGAGAAGGAGCGGGAGGCAAGGAAGGCUAAGGAGGCCCUUGCUGCCGAACGCGCCGAGGUGAAGAAGCUGCGCGGUCAGCUGGAUAAGGAGGAGAAAAAGGUGAGGGCCCUCAACGACGAAGUGUUGGAGGCCCAUAAGAGGAGUGUCGAGCUUGACUUUGAGUUGAAGGCUACCAACGAGAGGUAUGAAGCAGAUAAUGCCAGGUCGGUGGAGAGCAUUACUGGGUGGCAGAAGAUGGCUUACUACUGGCAGCGGCGCGGAAUUUGUCGCGAGGUGAAGCUGAAGGAAGUUAUCCCCGGCUUCGAUCCCUUGAUCGAUAAUGAACAACUCAAUGCUGAAGCUCAGGCCCAGUUCGAAUCGGACCAACAAGUGGAGAGAGAGGCAGUCGCAAGCCUGGCUAGCGAGCUUGAGGGUGACGAUGACGUGGCUGAGGCUGGUGUUCAGGCUGAUGGAGUCGGCUUGUCAGGGGAUGAAGGAGCUGAUCCUAUGGAACACGAGGCUGCUGUCUAGAUAUUCUAUUGUUUGAGAGAUGUGAGGUUUGUUGGUUUUUUGAACAUCUGGAUGUAUAAAACUUAAGGAGGGAUAAUUUCGAUUGAUGUCGGUCCUUCAGAUAUGCAUGGCUUAAUUAUACAGUUUGUUUUGAAAGAAUUUGUUUUACUCAUGAAUGAAUUUCAUUGUAUGCCAUAAAUGUUCUAAGUAUAGAUUCGAUGUUUGGGCCUGGUAUGUGAAUUCUAAGGAAUGUAUGCCUUAAGAUAUUUUCCAUUCCAUGGCCUAUCCACUCGGUUUCCUUCAUGAUCAAUUAGCCUGUAUGCUCCAUUGCCCAAGUCGGAUUGAACAAUGUAUGGUCCUUCCCAGUUAGGGUUAAAUUUUCCAUCACCCGCGACCUUUGUGUUCUGAAAAGUUUGCCUUAAGACCAAGUCCCCUAGUUGGAAGUUCCUUGGCCGUACUCUUUGGUUGUAGCUCCUUCUUAAUAUUUGCUGGUAACGAGCUGUUUGUAUGAUAGCUUUAUCUCGCCUUUCUUCCAACAUGUCUAUCUCAUGCGCUAGGAGGUUCUCAUUUUCCUCUGAUUCUACUAAUUCCGACCUAGUUGUUAAGUAUGUCAACUCGGUGGGUAUGACGGCUUCAGUACCAUAGCAUAGUGUGAAUGGUGAAAUGCCUGUCGAGGUGCGUGGAGUCGUUCUGUAGGCCCAUAAGACUCUAUCUAGCUCCUGUGUCCACUUAUCUUUUUCCGCUUCUAACUUUUUCUUGAGUGUGUUCAUUAUUGUCUUGUUAGUGGCUUCAGCUUGGCCAUUACUUUGUGCGUAUCGUGGUGUAGAUAAAGCGUGGUUGAUUCGCCAAUCGGAGUAAAACUCCUUAAUCGUGUUCCCACAGAACUGUUGGCCAUUGUCAGUAACUAAUGUGUGUGGCAGGCCAAAUCGUGUGAUUAUGUACUUCCAAAUGAAAUUCUUGACUUCCUGUUGUCGAAUUUUCCGAAGUGGAAUUGCCUCAACCCAUUUAGUAAAAUAAUCGGUGGCAACUAAAAGAUAUCUCUUUGUAUUCCUGUCCCUUGAAAGCGGGCCUACAAUAUCGAGCCCCCACAUGGCAAAUGGCCAUGGGCUAGAUAUUGUUUUGAGGUCUCUUGGGGGCUGGUUUUGUAGAGGCGAGAAUCGUUGGCAUUUGUCGCAGUGUUGCACGAAGAUUUCCGAGUCGGCCUGCAUAUAGGGCCAGAAGUAGCCCUGAUUUCUUGCUUUCUGUGCUAGGGAGCGAGCCCCAGCGUGGUUUCCACACUCUCCUUGGUGGAUUUCUGCUAGGAUCAUCUGAGCUUGUCUAGGUGGCAGGCAUCUGAGAUAAGGUCCUCGGACCGAUUUUCUGUACAGCCUUCCAUCUAGGAUUAGAUAACUCUUGGUUUUGCGUUCCAAUUUUCUAACUUCCAACUCGUCGUCUGGAUAGAUUCCCUUGAUAUAGUUCAUAAUCGGACCCAUCCACGAGUCUUGGAUUUCUUGUUCGGAUAUGUCAAUGAAGUCUGAGAUUGUGUUGACAUGGUGGGAUUUAACUUCGUAUGCUGGGGUAUUUCUUAUUUCGACUUGUAUUUCCCUGGCUGUUUCCGUGUCGACUUGUGAUGUUAAGUAGGCGAGACUAUCUGCGUGACGGUUAUCUUCCCGGGGAAUAUGUUGGAUUUCCCAUUUCUCGAAACUGCUUAGCAAGUUCCUCGUGUAUUGAAGAUAUAACUUAAGGGUUUCUUCCCUUGUUUCAUAAUCCCCAAGUAAUUGACUUACCACUAAUUGGGAGUCACUGUAAAUUCUGAGUUUUUGCAAGUUGAUAUCCCUUGCCAUCUGUAAGCCCGUUACCAGGGCCUCGUAUUCCGCGUCAUUAUUCGAAGAGGUGAAGUUCAGUCGUAUAGACUUCUCGAUUAUUACCUUCUCGGGAGAUAUGAGUGUUAUACCUAUCCCGACUCCGUUAUUAUUUUUUGACCCGUCGACAUAUAACUUCCACAUGGGUUCUCCUUGUGGGAAAUCGUCUCGCUGUUCUUCCUCGGGUGUCCACGUGACAUCCUCGAUUGGAUAAUCAACAAGCAGAUCGGCCACCACCUGGCCUUUCUUGCUAUUUCGGGGGGUAAAAAUGAGUUCGUGAUCCCCCAGCUCUUGGGCCCACUUGGCCAUUCGACUAGACUUGUUCCUAUGUUCCAACACUUGCCUCAGCGGGGCGUCAGUUAUGACUCUAAUCUUGUGCGACUGAAAGUAUGGUUUCAACUUCCUAGAGGCGAAUAAUAGGGCCAAUCCUACUUUCUCGAGGCUUGAGUACCUGAGCUCGGAUUGUAGCAACGUUUUGCUAAUGAAAUAAAUGGGUCGCUCGUUACCUUGUUCAUCCCUGAAGAGGACGGCGCUAAUUGCGUGGUCGGAGCUGCCGAGGUACAAUCCGAGUACGUCCCCCGGCUGGGGCACCGUUAUGACUGGUGGGGUUGCCAAGUAGAGCUUCAGUUCGUCGAAUGCCUGCUGGCAUUCUGUCGUCCACUCGUAUUUGGAACCUUUCUUGAGUAGCUGUAAUAAUGGUCUUUGCUUGUCGGACGCACGAGCGAUGAACCUGUUUAGUGCAGCUAACAUUCCGUUUAACUUUUGGACCUGCUUCUUCGUUGAGGGACUCGGCAUGUCCAAUAUUGCCUUGAUUUUCUCGGGGUUAGCCUCUAUUCCUCGUUGCGUAAUUAGAUAACCCAAAAAUUUGCCUGAUGCUACUCCAAAUAGGCAUUUUUGUGGGUUUAGCUUCAUGUUGAAUUCAUGGAGCCUUUUGAAAGUUUUUUCCAGGUCGGAUAUGUGAGAUGAUUUGAAUUUACUUUUAACUAUCAUAUCAUCUACGUAUACCUCCAUGGUGUCACCUAUCAUAUCCUCGAACAUUCGUGUCGCGAGUCGUUGAUAUGUAGCCCCGGCAUUGCGUAGGCCGAAGGGCAUUACCGUAUAGCAAUAGGUGCCUCUUUCCGUAAUGAAUGCUGUUUUUUCCUGAUCCUCUUCUGCGAGCUUAAUUUGGUUAUACCCUGAGUAUCCGUCCAUCAUCGAGAGGAGUUCGUGGCCGGCGGUAGCGUCCACUAGCUGGUCUAUCCGUGGUAGUGGGAAGCUAUCUUUCGGACAUGCCUUAUUUAGAUCCGUGAAGUCUAUGCAUACUCGAAUUUUGCCAUUUGGCUUCACAACGGCUACUAUGUUCGAAAGCCAGUCGGGGUAUUUGACUUCUCGUAUGAACUUAGCAUCAAUUAAUUUUUGGACCUCGGUAUUGACCUCCUUAGCUAAGUGAGGGGCCAAUUUCCGUGCCUUUUGUUUUACUGGUUUUUUCGUUGGGUCUACAUGAAGCUUAUGGCAUGCAACAUUAAUAUCUAUACCAGGCAUGUCAAUAUACGACCAAGCAAAAAUAUUUUUAUUCAUUUUCAAAGUUGCAAUGAGUUGCUCUUUUACAAUAGGAUCUAAAUUAGCUCCUACAUAUACAACUCUAGGUUCGGCUUCAGUGCCUAUGUUGACUGGCUCACCCUUCUCGAUGGUUGGGGAGUCGGUUACAAGCUUGCCUUCAGGGGCGUCAGUGGUUGGCUCAGAAAUGGCCAUGCCGUCAGGGGCUUCAGAAGUUGGCUCAGUACCGACCUUGCCGGCAGGGGCUUUAGAGGUCGGCUCAGUAGUGGCCAUGCCAUCAGGGGCUUCAGAAUUAGGCUCAGUAGUGGCCUUGCCAUCAGGGGCUUCAGAUAUCUGGUUGACAGUGAGCUUGUCAGGGCUAACGACUGUCACCUUUGUUGCUUCCUUGUUGGGGAGGGGUAUGACCUCUGGAAUGGUGUGGCAGCCGUGUGCCUCGAUUUGGUCACCCCGGAGUUCCAUUAUACCAUUUGGUCCAGGGAAUUUGAUGACCUGGUGGUAUGUAGACGGAACAGCUCCCAUCCUGUGAAUCCAUUUUCGACCCAGGAUAGCAUUAAACUGUGUCGGGACAUCAAGGACAUAAAAGAGGCAUUCAACUGUAACCUCAUUCUCAUCCUCUCCUGUGGCGACAGGGAGGGUAAGCUGGCCCUUUGCCGUUGUCUCUGUCGAGUUGAAAGCAAAGAGUGUGACAUUAGGGGUCUGUAAGACCGAGUCGGGCAUGAGCAUUUGAGCGAAAGCCUUGUUAAAUAGUACGUCACAAGAGCUCCCUGGAUCUAUUAGCACUCUCUUAGUGGUCCAUCCACCAAUUCGGAUAUGGACAACUAGUGCGUCAUUAUGUGGCAAGCAUACCUUCUUCAAGUCGUGGUCAGAAAAGAUCAGUGCAUUAUUUCCUUGCACCUGCUUGGCUAUCACUGCCUGAUGAGUGAGCUGGAAUAUAUGGUGAAUAUGAUUCACUUUCUGUCGCUUAGCUCGGGAUGUCCAUUCAGGUGGACGAGUAUCCAUGAUCAUGUUUAUCGUUCCUUUUGCCUUGGAGGUGUUGUCUGUUCUUUUGCGCUUAUCAUUAAUCUUCUGGCGGAGGUCAUCAGACUCCUCUGCCAAGAAGUCAUUCAAGUGUCCAUCCAUCCUGAGCUUGUGGCAAUAGGUUCGGAGAUACCGGCAAUCUUCUGUUGCAUGAUGUCGGCAAUUGUGUAACUUGCAGUAUGGAUUUUCUUCUAUGGGUUCAAGGUCAUGGAUUGUUGGCUUGAAGUAAUCUUCUUCUUUGAUUAGUUCAUACAGCUGCGUAUAUGAACAUUUGAACGGGUUAGGAAACCUGUGCUUAACCGAGCUGUUGGAUUGCUUACCUCGGGGGGGACCUUUUGUUGCUUUGGGCUCUGGAUUUUUGGAAUUGACCGUCUGUACGGCAGAGACAUGCUCUCUUGUUUUCGCCAAUGCCUCUUCAAGUUUGAUGUACUUAUCAGCACGGACAUACAGGUCUUCCAGUGUCGGUGGGGCGUCAAGGAUGAUAUUUUUCCCUAAGGCGGUUUCGGGGUGAACAGCCGAGAUGAAUGCUAACAGGCAUGCAUUCUCAUCUGGACUAUCUGCCUUGAGGCACUCCUUCUUAAAGCGAGCCAUGAAUUUUUUGGUUGUUUCGGUGUCACCCUGCUUAAGUCGGAAUAAAGCGGUUACCUCAGUUUUUCGCCGCUUAUUGUGGAUGUACUGGGUGACGAAGAGUGCCUCAAGCUGGUCAUACGACGUGAUUGAGCGUUCUGGGAGUCGGUGGUACCAGUCGAUAGCACUACCUCGGAGUGAGGCAGAAAAGAGUCUGCAGAAGAUAUCCUUGUAUUUGGGCCACAGUGCCAUGCUGGUCUUAAAUUGCAGGACGUGGUCCAUGGGGUCACCACUUCCAUCAUAGGUUGUGAACUUAGGGGGAAUGAAGUGUGGGGGUGGUUCCUGAUGAAGGAGGUCAUCAUGUAAGGGCUCUGUUCUAUAUUUUUCUAAGGUGGUGUUGGCCACCCUUUGAGCUGUAUUGGUUUUACUAGAUUCCUGGUUGUUCUUAUGAAGCUGGGCUGAAAGUUGUAGGAGGCGGUUGUGGGUUUCUUGCAUUUCAGCCAUGGUGGGGGCGGUGGUGUUGCUGGAAGUUGGUAUGACAAUGGGGUUGUUGGUGUUGAUUUCGUCGGUUGCGUGGCCAGCUGCCGGAGGGAUGGUAGGGCUUUUCAGUUGAGCGUUUUCAGCUAGUAACUUGUUGAUCUGCUCCUGUUGCUCAGUAAGUUGUCGUUGGAAGGUCUCAAAUUGCUCUUGUGUGAUUCCAGUCAUGGUCUUCGUCAGGUUAUGAUUCGUUCACAGUCAGUCGGCGCCAAUGUAAAUGUAGUUGAAAUUCUGGCCGGAAAGUUGGAGAAGAUGAUCGGAGAGAGGAAGGUUUUGAGUGAUUGAGAGUGGCUGAACUAUCUGAGCGUUGAUAGCUGCCUACGUAUCUGGAAGGGGCGAUCCAGAAUCAAGCCAAACGUAGUUCCUUUUAUAGGUGGCUUAGGUUGUGGAUCAAUAAUGACUCAACGUUCGGAUCAUAAAAGUGUGUGGAUAUUUAGGGAUUCAAUGGUACAGAUUCGUAACCGUCGUAUGAAUUAGAGUUUGAAUGUGUUGAACUCGGUAUUCAGAGUGGGUUAGCCCCAAGUCGGAUGUGCUCGGAUACUUUAUGAAAUAAAGUGAAUGAAGAUAUGGUUUUAAACAAAGUCGGAUGAAAUAAGUGUAAAGUCGGUGUUUGGCGUUCCGAGUUGGUAAGAUUAGGAUUUAAAUGGGGAUGUGUGAUAUGUAGUUAGAUGCGAAGUCGGAUGAAAUAAGUACUAAGUCGGUGUUUGUCAUUCCGAGUAAAGGGACUCGGUAGUGGGUAUACACAAAUACACUACACCAUGAAAACAUUGUGUGAAGGGGACCAUACAUACCAGCACACCACAAACUAAAGCAAUCCAAAGUUGACUAUUGAUAUUCUACAUUGCCAGGAAAAAAGGAACGGUCAUCAUGUUUUGACCCAUUGGGCGUCACCUUUCAAUCUAGAAGAAAAAAAAAUCUCUUCUAUAAAUAAAAACAAAUUUGUUCUUUAAAUCUCCACAUCUCUAAGCUUUACUUGUCUGCAAUUUCUUCCUUUCUUUUCAAUAAAACAUACUUGUACUCUAGUCUCUAGCCAUGGCUGCUGUUAAGGUUUAUGGAAUGCCUUUGUCUUCAUGUACAGCACGUGUACUAACAUGUUUGAUUGAGAAGGGUGUUGAAUAUGAAUUGAUUCCUCUUAAUCUUGCUGUGGGUGAACACAAACAACCUUCUUUCCUCGCCAAGCAGCCAUUUGGUCAAAUUCCAGUGUUGGAAGAUGGCGAUCUCACACUUUUCGGUAAGUUCUUUUGAUUUGUCGAAAAAUCCAUACAUAUAUUGUCGAAUAAUGUCAAUGCAUUAUAUAAAACUGUUCGUCAAAUAUAAAAAUGUCGAUUAUAUGCACUAUAGUAACAAUGUGAUAUUCAUUUAAUGUGCAGAAUCUCGAGCAAUAGCCAAAUAUGUGGCCUACAAGUACAAGGACCAAGGAACUGAUCUCCUCAGACAUGAGAAUGUAAAGGAAUCUGCAUUGGUGGUCGUAUGGACAGAAGUGGAAUCACAACAAUACAACCCACCUAUCUCUACAUUAGUUUAUGAAUUGCUUAUUAAGGGUAUGUAUGGGAUGACAACCGAUCAGGCUGUCGUUGAUGCUCAGUCUGAAAAGCUUGGAAAAGUUUUGGACGUAUACGAAGCUAGACUCACUGAGAACAAAUACUUAGCUGGGAAUUUCUACAGCUUGGCUGAUCAAAACCAUAUUCCAUAUACCUAUUUCUUGAUGAAGACCCCAGCUGCUUCUUUGAUCAAUUGUAGGCCUCAUGUCAAGGCUUGGUGGGAGGAUAUUUCAUCAAGGCCUUCUUUCCAGAAAGUUCUUGCAAAUGCCAAUGCCUAAAUUUGGAUCAAGAAUGCCACCUAGGGAAGCAAAUGUUGUUUUUUUUUUUUUUUUUUUCUGUUUAUUGUAUUUGGAAUAAUGAUACCCUAGGUGAGUGAUUCAUGUAUGUUUGUACUUUCAUGGUGAAUUCAUAAUAGAAAGGAGUUGUACUCAUAUUAUUGUUAGCUAUUCUUUUUAAUUGAAUUAGUAGACAGUGUUUUGCAAAAUGCAUUGAUGCUCGCGUGCUUGUUUAGUGUCAUUUAGUCAAGUAACAUUACAUUCAAAUUCAAAUUUAAUUCUCACUAGCGAUACCCACCCUUUAAAAAGGUUAAUUGGGAGACCCACCCAGUUUAAAAAAAUUUAGUGAUCCCCCCUCCAUUUGAAAUUCCGGCCAAAUUAUAAAGUGAACUACCUAAUAUACCCUCAUGCUACAUCAGAUUAUUUUGUAGGUGGUUUUAAAGAACCCACUUUUACCACAUCGGCAACAAAAUUAGUUUUAAUAAGGACCGUCGAUUUUAGAUCGUUCAAACUUUCAAAUCACAAUAAAAUCUAACCAUCGUGAAGUGGACAUUUGGAUUAGACAUAAACACUUUACCAAAUUAGUUUUAUUACACCUACUAGAGACAAAACCUAAAUCUAUUAUCAUCUUCUUCACCUCUAUUAUCAUCUUCUUCACCUCUAGAUUGAUAAGAACUAGACUUUUAUUGACUCUAGACUUCUAACUGAAUCAUAAUAUCUGGAUCUUGCCAUCUUGGUUUUGUUACUUUUCAUGCCAUUUUUUUAAGUAAUAUACUUCUGUGUUCCCUACUAUCUUCAGUACCCUGUGAAACUGGAUUUACCAAGAUACAACCAAUUACAAGGAAAUGUUCAUUUGAUAUCAUAUUCAAUGCUAAUGGAUUGGCAGUAAAAAAUGUUUAAUGCAGGUUGGCACUCCUCACUUUCGCUGUUAGAAUGUCCUGAUUGUUCAAAAUGCUUCUGAAGGAAUUUUCAUCUUACAUCAUUCAACAUCAUCUUGUGAAAGUGCAAUAUUUAGGCGUGGAAUUGUAAAAUUGCCCACAUCUUAAGAAAUAAAUUCCAACAUACGUAACUUAAGACUACAACAAAAAGUGCACCACGAGCAAAAACUAACUGCUCCAUCACUGUAGUUUUCUAGCACUUUUGACACUUGUCUUCUGUGACGCAAUGAAAAUCGGGGAAAAUUUGUGCCGACACAUUAUCUUGAUGAGAACCCAUGUGUUUGCAGCCAAGAACAAUAAACCUGCAACCCAUAACUGAACAAAGACAUUCUUCCCUUUGAAUUCCAACAUAUAACCCCACAUCAGCCAAUGCAGUUGCGUACCCAUCCAUAUGAGAAUGCACGAUAAACCUUCCCAUCUGAGAUUCAUAUUACUCCAUGGUAGCAAUAAGGGAAGCAGGCAGAAGAACCAUACAAAAUAUUGCGCUGUGACAACCUGUCAAUGAUUAAUAUUUAUCAUCUGUUAAUAAAAUUGUGAUGCAUAAAGAUCAUCCCAGAUUUAUUAUAGCAAGAAGCUGCAGUUACCUUACGUAUAAUAUGUCACAGUUGUUAACCAUUCUUGGUUUGGAAUCAACAACCAAGAUGAUGAUAAAACAUAAUUUCACAUGUAUGCGUAACAAUCAAUCUCAAAAUAUGGGGAAAAACGCAUCACUAAGAAGAAUCUGUAAGACGUUAUAUUAAGAUAGAAGUUACGCUUUAGAAAUGAAAAGAAAUUGAUCACAAACUCAAGUACCUUGUUGAAUGCUACAAAAGCCACUGUCUGGACAAAGAGGCAGAAUGGGAGGUCUUGUGCGUAGCGGAAAAUAAGAACAAGUUGCACCGUCAACUGAGGCAAAAAAGACACAAGCUUCUCCAAUAUUGAAAAUUCACGUUCAUGAUGAAGAUAGAUGUGAUAAAAAUAUAUGGAGAAGUUGUGCCUCGGAUCAGUGCGUGUAAGAUGGUAAAAGAGUGCCUCAUUGAGAAACUCCCAUUGGUAAAGAUAAAAGAAAAGCCAGGUCCAAAAGAAGAACACCGAUGCAGAGAGAAGCCCAAAUAAUAUCCUCUCUCUUGUUAGCAAACUUCUCAAACGAAGCAAUGAAUCAAAAAGAAAACUUCCUCCUUUACAAUUAGAACCUUGGCUAGACUUUUGUUGUGUGGCACCCCAAGUUUGGAGAAAAGGUUUUGAACCAGCUUGAAUGUUGCGUGGAUUUAGAACUAGAACAAGAGGAAGUGCAUAAAUGAUUGGAUAUAUUCUGAAGUGGACAACAAGACCGUACCAAAAUGCUGCUUGUAACACCUUGCCUGUAAAUUGAGAAACAUGAUGAGAUUAAAGAAGGCAAAUAUGUCAUACAUAAUUUAAAUUAAAAAAGGUAUGGUAUUAGUUACAAUCUAAUUAAAAUCUAAAACGUUGAAGAAAGUACAAUGAGUUAUACAGUACUAUUCCUACAAGAAUAACGACUGUAAAAGUACAUUGAGUUAUAUGAAUCCAUGGAAUAUGGUCAAGUCCCGCAUUCUGUCUUCACCACUAACAGCCAACUACGUUAAGCAGGGUGGGAAGGGGUUAACAUAAACUCAGAGGGAAGGGGAAGAAGAGAAUUCUCUGAUAUUGCCGACAUAAAAGCGGACACUUGAAUUAACUCCAUAUCCUCUGCUUGAAAACCUCACCACAAAUGACUACAAUGUAGUCUUUAAACUCUUUUACCGUCCAUCCUUGCUGCGUGACUCUAUAACUAUAUUUGGAUGCGAUCACUAUAUUCCUAAGGGAAACAGGAUCAUGAGAAACCUUGACCAAAAUCCAUUUUGAAGAGGUGUUCGUUGUGUUGGGUGGCCAGUGUCGGGUCAGAUGCCUCGUCUAGCUUCAACUAUACCUUUUUUCUUAUCGUAUCAUUUAGAUGCUACACUAUAAACAUUGGAGAACAGGUUAUUAUGAAAAGAAAGGAUUGUCGAAAGAAUAAAAAUGCUUAAUGGUGGGAAACCCAGUUUUUGCACAGCAGAAUCAAUAUUGGACGUCAUUGUAGGCUUUAUGCUGUUAUGGUGAUGCCUUGUUUUUGGCAUAAAAUUUUGGUAUCGUUAACCGUUUUGCACAUCAGUAUAAAAGGUGAACAGCAUAAGAAAGUCAUCACAACUACAUAAAACUAAGAAUCUUAUGGUCCAUGAUUAACACUUAAUCAUCACUAAUAAGUGCCCUCAAGGUUAAAAGUUAUCAAAGGGAGCAAAACUUACACCAUUCAUAAUACAUAUGAUAAUCCACAGAACUAUGGCACAAACAAUUGGCUCGCAGUUCCCACGAGUCCCUAUGGUGAAGGUAAAUGGAUUAAAGAGCCAUGCUCCCAUAGAGAUUAGGCAUAAAUUCUCCGGAACACCGCGUAGCUUCAAAAUAUUGCGAAUAAAUAAUCCCACAAGAAUAUCUGCAACAUAAGCACAUUCAUCAAUCUAUGUCAUCUGUUGAUGCUAAUUCUCAUUAUAAAGUUCAACCGGUAAAGCCAACUCAAAUAAAAAUCAAGAACGUAUAAACCUCCCAAAGUAGGUAAUGGGUUAAACUUCAUAUGGAAGAAAAAAGAAGGAUUUCAAUACCUGAAGCAGAAAACAAAAGUUUCCCCCAUGAACGAUGAAUAAAUGAAUUCGGCAAGAGUAGAAAUGCAAGUAAAGGCGAAUAACGAUAUGUAGAUCUCUUAUAAGGCGACAAUCCAGAUGCCAUCAAAGAAGAAGCAUCCGAGAAAACAAGGUAAUCAACAUCAGUGUAUCUAACUUCCAUAUGGGUAUCUUGCCAUUCUCCAUAAAUAAUAAGAACAAUGCGAAGGACAACUGAGAAUAUAACAAGUGAAUUGAAAUCACACCUCAUUACUGCAAAAACAAAUUUAAGAUCGAUUUCCAUCAGAAUUACUAAUCACCUCAGUAGAAUUUAUUUAGAAAUGUAAAACAUUGUGCAUUUCAAGUCACAAUUGGAUCUCAAAAUCCUCAAUCAUUUUUAGAUUUUAAAGAUACCCUUUAAUGGAAAUCUCAAUACUUUCAAUGGGUUGUUAUUAAUGAUUAAAAUCCCACUUACUAAAUAGCAAAAAAGUCAUAGAUAUAUAUCAAUAGAUCAUCAUAGAAGUAGCUAGUUUUAGAUUUAGAAUGCAAUAAAAAUGAAGAAAAAGUAGAGAAGAAAACACUAGAGAUCCAUUACUGUGAAAAAAUCAAACAAAACCCAAACAGUAAAAAAACUUGCCUUUAGAAUUUCCUCAGAAGAACAAGCAAGAGAUGAAGUGAUGGAGAAAGAGUGAAAGAGAAGAGAAGACUUCGCGGCGCAAUUAUCAUGUGGGUGUACAUAGCCAACAGCCAAACAAGUUCUUGGGCUAGCUGAUCUUAUGGUAGAAUAUUUUGCAUUUUUGCAAAAAAAAAAAAAAAAAAAAAAAUGCAAAUAUUUCACAAAAUAUCAUAGUGUGUACUGUCUAGUAAGAAAAAAUUAAUUAUUUCAGUUCAUUCUCAGACACAAAUCAUUUUCUGAAAAAAAAAAAAAUUAAAAAUAAUCCAAAGUUAAUAAUAUGAAAACACAUUUGUAUAAAGAAAAAUCUAUUAUUUUGUCUAUAAUUUUUUUCUAGAAGAAAACAAAUACAGUAUGGUUGGAAUAUUGCAAUUAUUAAUCAUGGUACGUUGUUUGACCACUCAUGCCAUCAAUUAUCAAUAGCAUGUCAUGGUUGAAUACAUAAACAACUACUCCUCUAAGCAGUCUAGCUAUAUAUUAAGCUUGGUUCUCUGCUCUAAAUCUCCACAACUCUUUCUGCUCUUUCUGCUCUAUCUAUAUCUCUUUCUUCUUCUCAAACCUACAUUUGUUCUUCUAUUUCUUUCUAUCUUUUCAAAGAACAUUAUUUCUCUAGCCAUGGCUGCUGUUAAGGUUUAUGGAAUGCCUUUGUCCUCAUGUACUGCACGAGUACUAACAUGUUUGAUUGAGAAGGGUGUUGAAUAUGAAUUGAUUCCUCUUAAUCUAGCUGUGGGUGAACACAAACAACCUACUUUCCUCGCCAAGCAGCCAUUUGGUCAAAUUCCAGUGUUGGAAGAUGGCGAUCUCACACUUUUCGGUAAGUUGUUCUGAUUUGUCGAAAAAUCCAUACAUAUAUUGUCGAAUGUCAAUGCAUUAGUCCCUUUAUAGAGGUUGUCAGAUAAAAAAAAUGUCGAUUAUAUGCACUAUAGUAACAAUGUGAUAUUCAUCUAAUGUGCAGAAUCUCGAGCAAUAGCCAAAUAUGUGGCGUACAAGUACAAGGACCAAGGUACUGAUCUCCUCAGACAUGAGAAUGUCAAGGAAUCCGCAUUGGUGCUUGUAUGGACAGAAGUUGAAUCACAGCAGUACAACCCACCUAUCUCUACCUUAGUUUACGAAUUGCUUAUUAAAGGUAUGUAUGGGAUGACAACCGAUCAGGCUGUUGUUGACGCUCAGUCCGAAAAGCUUGGAAAAGUUUUGGACGUGUAUGAAGCUAGACUCACGGAGAACAAAUACUUAGCUGGGAAUUCCUACAGCUUGGCUGAUCAGAACCAUAUUCCAUACACCUAUUUCUUGAUGAAGACCCCAGCUGCUUCUUUGAUCAAUUCUAGGCCUCAUGUCAAGGCUUGGUGGGAGGAUAUUUCAUCAAGGCCUUCUUUCCAGAAAGUUCUUGCAAAUGCCAAUGCUUAAGUUUGGAUCGACAAGAAUGUGACUUAGGGAAGCAAAUGUUAUUUUAUUUUUCUCUGUUUAUUGUAUUUGAAAUAAUGAUACCCUAGGUGGGUGUGAGUUAUUCACGUAUAACGUAUGCUUGUACUUUCACGUAUGCUUGUAUUUUCACGGUGAAUUCAUAUAUAAUAGAAAGGAGUUGUAUUCUUAUUAUUCAUAUUCUUUUUAUUAAUUAAAAUUAUUAGACAUUGUUCUGCAAAAUACAUUCAUGGUCGCGCAACUGUUAUUUAGUGUCAAUUGGUUAACACUACUAAGAGAAAACACUUGAUCAUCGUCUUUGGGAGGACAUAUUUUCAAGCAAAUUAUGGUCCUGGGUUACAUUCAAAUUCCAAUUUAAGGAUCACAACAUAAAUUUCAAUGUGCUAAAUAAGAAACAGUGUGUAUGGAUCCUUGACAGAUAUUUGAGAAUAAGCGGAUCCACACAUCAACAACAUUUGAUACGUAUGGAACUAUGGAUUAUACGAUUGAUAAUUAGUCUCCUAUCGAUCAUAUUUAGCCUCCAAAAGGUUAUUGCAUAAAUAAAAUCCUACAUUAAUCCAUAGGGGACAGGUAUGUUAUGGUGCUGUAAAAUAUGGUUGUUGGAUCAUUAGGGACUGCAUCUAAUUGUUAUUGAGAGUUGAGACUACAGCACAACCCUAACUGUCAUGGUAAAGCAUAGUGUCCUGGUUCAGGAGAAGGGACUGCAGAACAUAACUCUGGCUAGCUGCUGAUAGCUGUACUAAGGAGAUGAAGAAAUGUAAGCUAAGCUGCGCUGGGCUGAUAGCAGGAUGAAAGGUUUGACAGAGUAAAGGCAGGGAGAGAGCAAGAUAAGAAGCUGUCUGGACUCUGAACAUCUAGAGACAGACCUGGGAUGAGGUAAUUUCAACUGGCAGAGGCUCCUAGUCAUAUUUGCUGGUAUUCUAGCUUCGCUAGACAGGGUAUACUUCGUGCAAGGCAACAGGCAAGAACCUCUAACUCUGCUGGGCAGCUCUUGGGUGUUACCUCGUUGCUGUUGUAAAUUUGGGAUUGUAUGUUGUAAUCCCAGGGUCAUGUUACUUCUGUAUGUUUAUAUGUCAAGGUCCUAAGCACACAGUAUGUACCUGAUGCUGAUCCAAAUGAUAGCUUCUGAUUAUGCCAGCAUCUCAGGGCACGCAUAGUGCUAACUAUAGUGGGGAUUGCAGCACAGCUCAGGGAGGGACCUAAGGCAGCUAGGAAUUUUUUGAUUUUACACAGCAAUCCCUAAGCAGAAAGUACUUGAUACUGACCCAAAUGAUAGCCUCUGGUUAUGCCAUGGCACCUAUAGGGCAUGCAGGGGCACUAACUAUAGUGGGGGAUGAUGGGGAUUGUGGCACAAGUCAGGGAGGGACGUAGGACAGCUAGGAAUGUUUUGAUUGUACACAACUGCUUAAUGUCCAUGUGACAGUUCAAAUUACAAAACCCAGCAUUAAUCGAGGAACCUUCAUACAGAACACGAAAAAAUAUUACAUCAACUACAUGUCUGCAACUUUAAUUAAGACAAAAUCGUUGUUGACGAAAACUAAUCCAAUUCGCAGUAUGGUUCUAAAUUAAUAAGAUGAUAGAUUAUGGAUACACCAUCCAAAAACAUUUCUAUGGAGACCUGACCUAGAGAUUGCCAGGAAUCUUAAACUGUAUUGAGAAUUUGUUUCAAAUGGAAUCUUGUUUACUAAAGCAAAAGCAAUCCAAAGUUGACUAUUGACAUUCUAGAUUGCCAGGAAGAUAGGAAGGGUCAUCAUGUUUUGACCCACUGCCACAUCCCUUCACGCGUCACCUUUCAAUCUAGAAGAAAAAAAAUCUCUUCUAUAAAUAAACACCAUUUUGUUCUCUAAAUCACCACAUCUCUCUAAAGCUUCACUCAUCUUCAAUUUCUUUCUUUCUUUCUUUCUAUCAUUCAAAAGAAGAACUCUAGCCAUGGCUGCAGUCAAGGUUUAUGGAAUGCCUUUGUCCUCGUGUACAGCACGUGUACUAACAUGUUUGAUUGAGAAGGGUGUUGAGUAUGAAUUGAUUCCUCUUAAUCUGGCCGUGGGUGAACACAAGCAACCUUCUUUCCUCGCCAAACAGCCAUUUGGUCAAAUUCCAGUGUUGGAAGAUGGCGAUCUCACACUUUUUGGUAAGCUCCUUUGAUUUGUCAAAAAUAUCCAUAUAUUUAGUCGAAUGUUAAUGCAUUAGUCCCUUUUACAAAGGCCAAUAAAUGUAAAAGUGCCCAUUAUAUGCUCUGUACUAACAAUGUUAUGUUCAUCUAAUGUCCAGAAUCUCGAGCAAUAGCCAAAUAUGUGGCCUACAAAUACAAAGACCAAGGUACCAAUCUCCUCAGGCAUGAGAACGCCAAGGAAUCCGCAUUGGUGGUCGUAUGGACAGAAGUGGAGUCACAGCAAUACAACCCACCCAUCUCUACGUUAGUUUAUGAAUUGCUUAUUAAGGGUAUGUAUGGGAUGACAACCGAUCAGGCUGUUGUUGAUGCUCAAUCCGAAAAGCUUGGAAAAGUUUUGGACGUUUACGAAGCUAGACUCACUGAGAACAAAUACUUAGCUGGGAAUUCCUACAGCUUGGCUGAUCAGAACCACAUUCCAUACACCUAUUUCUUGAUGAAGACCCCAGCUGCUUCUUUGAUUAAUUCUAGGCCUCAUGUCAAGGCUUGGUGGGAGGAGAUUUCAUCAAGGCCUUCUUUCCAGAAAGUUCUUGCAAAUGCCGCCAAUGCUUAAGUUUGAAAAAAAAAAAUGUCAACUAGCCAACUAGGGAAGAAAUCAUGUUGUUUUUGGUUUCGAUAGUGUAUAAUAAUUCCCUAGGGUGAGGAUUGCAUAUGUGUUACUCCAUAUUUCAGAUUCCAAGAGUGUUGUAUUCUUUUUAUCACUGUUGCCUUGUUUCCAUACCUUCUUAAUUGAUAAUACAUAGUUACAGUAGUUUACAAUGUUCUGAAAAAUUUUGUUCAUGGUUCUCUUGAUUUUUAUCAAUUGAUUAAACUAUAAUGCUAUUCUAUCAAUUUGAUAUAUUAGUAUACCACUUAGCAACAAUAGAUGUAGUAUGAAAAUCCCUUUUAUAGGCGCUCAAUUAAUUUGGAUCAACAAUGUGAGAUAUAAGUGAAACUUACCUAAAUGCACACCCUGCACUGGGGACAAAAAAAUUUGUGUUUGCGUAGGGUGUGCGUUUAUAAAGUAAAAAGUAUACAUUUCCGACGAUUGGAUUGAUAUGUUCUGGAAAUUAAACCUAGGGUGUGUUUGAUUGGUGGGAAUAACUACUUGUGGGAAUUUUUAUAGUUGAAAAUAUUCCCACAUAAAAUAAUUCCCACUAAUGGGUCGUUUGAUUGGACAUAAAAACACAAGGAAAAUUUUAUGUGGGAAAGAUUUUAGUUAUUUGAUUAGACAUAAAAACAUGAGGAAAAUUUUAUGUGGGAAAGAUUUUAGUUGUUUGAUUAGACAAAAAAAUAUUCCCUUACAAGUUUGGGAAUUUUUUUUAGGGGUGGGUCAAGGAAAGAUUCAUGAGAAAUAUUUUUAUCAGGGAAUUUUUACAUGACCCAACUUUACCAAUCAAACAGGCAUCUGGGAAUUUCUGGGGUAAUGUUUGAUGUGGGAAUUUUUCCCACGACCAAUCAAACAGACCCCUAGUUUAAGCUAAAACCUCUCUGUUUUAGUAGUAUUAAAUUUGCAGGGAAUAUAAGCCUGGUCGGAUGCAUAACAACACCAGUGUGCACCUUCAAGUUGUGUUGUACUGUUGUGAGAAAAUAAAUUGGAAACAAAUAUAUUUACUAAAAUCAUAGGAUUUUAUGAAGAAACUGCAAUUUUUACUUUUUAUAAAUUACAAAGAAACUAAGGGUGUGUUUGUUUAAAAUGUUGAAUACUGGUUGCUGAAUGUUGGAUGUUGAAUGCUGGAUAUUAAUUGUUGAAUGUUGAAGACCGAAUGCUGAAAAAGUUGUUUGUUUAUCAUUUUUCAAAACUUCUAUUUACAGUUGACUAUUUUAAAUGUGAUAAUUUUAUCCUCCUUUAUUCUUUUCUUUAAAUUUUAAAUUUGAAAAACAUAAAAUCUGAAGUUCUUUGCAAAAAAUGACAUCACGAAAUAACAAUUGAGCAUUUAAGAAAUACUUAUAUAAAAAAACAUAGUUAAAAAAAUCAAACAAAGUAAAAACAUAUUAAAAAAUCGAGACAAAUUAGUUGCAUCUAUAUACAUCUUUAUUUAAUAAUAACUAAACCAAAUACAUAUGAUAUAACUAAUGGAUUUUCAAAGAAAGAACACAUGUGAAUGGAUCUUUCAUGACUAUGACUAUUAUUUUCAUCCACAAUCUACAUAUAGCUAGGAUAUUAUUUUAUUAAGAUCAAUAAGUCGAUUAUGUAUUUAUGAUUAGUUAGCAUGGAAGGGUCAAACAAACAACUGCUAGCUUAGUUGGUUUGUUAUCUCUCUCAAACACUCCCACGAGUGAGAGGUUGUGAGUUCAAUUCCCAUCAACCACAAAAAUGGCUUCCACGAAGAGUUUAUUGUCUGCAGAAAACAAUCUAGCCCUAGCUCAGUACCAAGUUGAGACUCGUGACUUUAAGAACGCCAGAUUUUACGCUAGAUUUUCUUUUCAUAAUACGCGAAAAAUGGUUUAUUUUCUUUCCAUAAUACGCGAAAAUGGUUUUGAAUGCCAAAAUAAUCUUUUGUCAUUUCUAAGCACAAUCAGUGUUUCAAAGAAAUUGUUGGAUGAUAUGAAAGCUACUGUACUUCUUGAUGGUGUAGCGGAGCAAAUACUCGGUCCUCUUCUUAAAUUUCCAUGAAUCUAAAUUUCUUUUUCUUUUGUCAUUCUUUUAAUUAAAAAAAUAAAUGUAAUUCAUUUAUCAUAAUGAAAUUGAUAAAUGUGCUAUACAUUGCGCUGUCAGGUUUUUCUUAUUCUUUUCUUUUUAAUCUGCCCUUUUAUGUUUACUAUAAUUUUCAAAAUUAACUGAUGCACAUUGUAGUAUGUGAUAAUCUUUUAGUUAUCAGAAAAGAAAAGCUUCAAUGGACAGAAAAAAAUACCCAGAUAAUUUGAAACUACAUUUGUGAGCAAGUUCGAUGAUGUCAGAAAAUGCGCAAAAUUCAAUUAACAAUGACAUCUCACUUCUAUAACAUAUGGUGUUCCAACAUAACUGAAAUGGCUACAGAAACUGGUUGCCCCAAUACAUAAGUCCCAUAAAUUUGGCUCAAUGAUGAAAUUAAACCUAGUGUAAGAUUUUCCACAAACUAAGCUUCAAUCACAAAUUCACAAUAUAUCUUUAUAAUCAUUAAUCACAAUAUCUUUAUUUUAUUUUAUGUUUAAUAUACAGUAAAACCUCGAUAAAUGCAUACUCUUGGGACCGAAAAAAUAUAUUACUUUAGUGAGAUUAUUUAUUUAUCGAUAAAUAAAUAAUAUAUUAAUUUAUCAAUAAAUUAAUAUUUAUUAUUUUAGAGGGAGAUUUUCAAUCUAUGUAUGUGGUCAAAGAAAAAAAAAUCAAAAGACAACAAGUAUGUGAUCAUACACCAAAUGAUGAUGAACAUGAUCGUGAUCUAGAUGAUAGUUCGGUUAUACCAAAUGUUUCGUUAAAAGAAGUAUUUCAAUCAAUAAUCACAUUAUAUAACUAUUUGCUACAAUAUGAAGAAAUAUUCCGGAAGUUGUGUAUGCUCUACAAAAAAUUAAGGAUAUGUUUGAAUUUGGUUUGGGUACAAAGAAAAAACAAACAACUUUAGAUGCAUAUUUUUAGAAAAAAAUGAAUUUAUAAAUAAAAGUUCAAAAGUAUGUAGAUUAUAUACAUAAAAUUUUGUAUGGAUUUUAGUAAUUAUUAAUUUAUAUUUUCAUUGAGCUUUUAAGGAUUCAAUUUUUUUUAUUACUUAAUGCAUUUAGCGAGUUUAUUACUUUAGUACACAUGCCCAAGUCGGGAUCAGAAGAAAUUAUUAUCUAAGCGAGGUUAUUACUUUAUCAAACAUUCAUUUAUCGAGGUUUUACUGUAGCUAUAAAAAUUCACAAAAAAAAAAAUUAAAUAAACAAAAAAAUUGCACUUAAUACAUCAUUUUUGCAAAUGGAAUCUUCUUUUAGAGCUAUCCAAAGUUGACGAUCUUGAGUCUUUGAAGUUUGAAUAUUGAAACCACAAUGUAAACACUACAUUGAGGUUGGUUGGCUUAUCAAUUAUCAUCACUAAAAAAAAAAAAAAAAGUUAUCUUAAAUGAGACUUUUCAAUUAUUUUUGUUUAUUUAUACAGUUCUAGAAAAAGAUUUGUAUAUUAUUAUGUUUGCCAAUAAAAAAUUGGGGUCAUGUUUGGACUUUUGACCUACCCACACAUCCCAUCCCAUCACUCACGCGUCAUCUUUGAAUGCUCAAGAAUCACAACUUUUCAUCUAUAAAUAAACACCAUUUUCUGCUUUAAAUCUCCACAACUCUUUCUUUCAUUUGUCUUCUUGAGUUUCCUUCUUAUCUAAAUUUUCCAAACAACAUAUCAUAUCUCUCAUCUCUAGCUAGUUAGCCAUGGCUGCUGUUAAGGUUUAUGGGAUGGCUUUGUCUUCAUGCACAGCACGAGUACUUACAUGUUUGAUUGAAAAAGGUGUUGAGUAUGAAUUGAUUCCUCUUGAUCUUGCUGUGGGUGAACAUAAGCAACCUGGUUACCUCGCCAAGCAACCCUUUGGACAAAUUCCAGUGCUGGAAGAUGGUGAUCUUACACUUUUCGGUAAGUUGAUCCUCUUUAAUUACAAAAGUUAUUUAUAUAUUAUUACCAGCCAAUUUUAUAUCCAAGUGAUCAAAAAUAAAAAUGAAACUUUAUCUAGUACUAAUAAUGUCAUAGCUGUAUUUUUGUUUAAAUAAUAUGCUGGUGGGAUGGUGGUGGCUCUCAUCUUUAGAAUUAUUCAAGGAUGAUAUUGAUAGCACAAUACAAUACAAUAGUCAUCUCUAUCUGUAGUGAUCACAAUAUGUCGAGGUUGUCGCAUUCUUAUCCAAACUUUAUUUUGCUUUGUAGCAAAAGCAGCCUCUUGACUUUUCUCUUCCACAUGUGAAUAAGAAAUCAAUCUUUAUGAAUGAUUUUAUCUGGAAAUUAUUAUUGAUAAAGAAAAAUGAUUUGGUUUGGUUAAAUGACGGUCUUUUUCGUGUUCAGAAUAACGUGAAAAAGACCGCCCUGCAAUUUAAAGGAAUCCUUUAUCAUCUCAUAUGUGUCAAAUUAUAUACAUGCAUGCUCAAUUUUAACAGAGUGACCUUUAUUGGAAUUGCAGAAUCUCGCGCAAUAGCCAAAUAUGUGGCCUACAAAUACAAAGACCAAGGUACUGAUCUCCUAAGACAUGAGAAUGUAAAGGAAUCUGCAUUGGUGCUUGUAUGGACAGAAGUUGAAUCACAGCAAUACAACCCACCUAUCUCUACCUUAGUUUAUGAAUUGCUCAUCAAGGGUAUGUAUGGAAUGACAACUGAUCAGGCUGUCGUUGAUGCUCAGUCCGAAAAGCUUGGAAAAGUUUUGGAUGUGUAUGAAGCUAGGCUCGCUGAGAACAAAUACUUAGCUGGAAAUUCCUACAGCUUGGCUGAUCAGAACCAUAUUCCAUACACCUAUUUCUUGAUGAAGACCCCAGCUGCUUCUUUGAUCACUUCUAGGCCUCAUGUUAAGGCUUGGUGGGAGGACAUUUCAUCGAGGCCUUCUUUCCAGAAAGUUCUUGCAAACGCCAACGCUUGAGUUUGGAUAAAAAAAAAUAAAAAAUUGUGAGCUACGUCCUAGGGAAUUUGAAUUAAUGUUGUUUGUUUGUGUGUUUGUCUUUUUUUUUGGAAUAAUACUAGCUUCCCUAGGUGAGUGAUUCAUGUAUUACUCUUAUAGUUUCAUGGUUAAUCAUAAGAUGGAUGUUGAUCCAAUGUAAUGUUGUUGUACCUGUUUUUAUAGCGUUGUAAUUCUUUUUAUCGGAAUUAUAGUUUUGAAAACAUUGAUGUUCCCCUCUUUAUUUCUGUCCAUUGAUCAUAGAUUAAUCACAAAGUCAUUUUAUUUUGAUUCUGCUUUGUAUAGAGUGACUAUUAUUGGAAAUGAUGGGGAGUGUGGUUAGUCGUGAAGGUUAGUGGUGAAGGGACUCUGAAAGUCUUUAAAAGGUGCGGCUCUGAAGUCCGAACAAGGUGGUUCUUGUGGACUGAAUUAUCAAGAGUAUAAAUAUACUUGUAUAUAUGUCAAUAUGUGUACCUUAGUGUACAUGAAAUUGAUUGAUGAAUAAGAAUGAUCUCUCUCUCCCUCAUACAUAUCUUCUUAAGUUCUUGUUAUUUCAGUAGCUUUUGGUUCUUAGGUCGUUGAAGCUAACUUAGUUGUUGACAACCUGAUUUAUUCAAAUAUAGUGUUUUGUAUAAUUGGAAAUAGAUGAUACAUUAUACUCAUGUCACUUUGAACUUGAAAGCAUGGAUGCACCAGAUCCAGGUAAAUUAGCCAUCCCAGCAGCAUGACCUCCAAAAAUGAAUGCGCGAAGGAAAUUUCCAAGUUUUCUAGUCUUCGCCCAAUUGCUCAAUUGCCUAGAAUUUCCAGCACUUACACGCGCAAGAUGGAAAUUUGGAACGUUUGUGAUCUCCAUUGCUAAGCUGUUCCUCUCAGGCUCAGGACAGGAUCCCAUCUAUAAGUUCUUCACCAUGAGCUCUGUCAAACAUGCUAGAUGAAAUUCCUCACCAUUUGUGGUAUAUUUAUAUGACCAACAUUUGACCUUAUUCCAGGAGCCAUUAUUUGAAGGUAUCAUAGUCCCACGGCGACCACACUUUCCACACUGUUUCGAUAUUUUCUUUUUAAGAUGUGCAUCCACACCAUCACUUUGUGAAGGGGUAAAUUAGCACAAACAGGAUGCAGAUCAUCUCCAGUUUUGUGACAAUGAUAUGCGUAACCUAGCACCUGCUUUCCGCAUGCUCUGCAAUAUCUAUUAUGAGGACCAGGUACACGUUCAAGAAAUUUAAACACACCACUUUUGAAGAAAGCGUGAGACAUAGAACUGGAAUGUAAUGCACAAUCCUCGUGGAGAUGGUAGUUGCAUUUUUCACAUGAAUAGCGAGUUCCCCAUCCUGGUCCUUGCAGCCCUUACAAUUAUAAGGUGUUCUGUAGUUUAGCUUAGUAAGCUCAUCCUGGUGGCUAGAAUGUGUCAUUUUGGUGCAAGUCAUGCUUGCAACCUUUCACCAAUGAAAGUGAUCAAACUAACCUGCAAUUAAGACCAUUGUCGAAAUAUAUAUAAUUCAAUUCAAUGAAAUCAUAAACUCCUCUACUUAUGCUAGCUAACGGAACAUAAUGGAAGAAAUGUAAAUCUACAUAUAAAGCAGUACAAAAAUCACCAACGUACAGACAGAUGGAUGUAAUGUGAAUGUCUCAAUGUUCAGCCUGUAGGUACGAGAUUGCAGGUUGCCUGUUGGAGAAAAGAAUGAAAAGAAGGCAGAAGAAAAGGGGAAGGAUUAAGGAUGCUGAAGCCAAUAAGAAACAGUAGUGUAUAUAGGUUUUUUCACUACUUGUCUCCACACAAUUGUCUUGAUAUAUAAAUUAAACUAGUAGAGAAGGAAGAAAGACAAUAUUGGAGAAAAUAAUGUACAUUAUGUUUGGAAAUAACGACUCCUAUUGUAUAUGUGUGUAUUAUUCCACAUUUUACUCUCAACAUCAUAUCCUGAGUGAUAUGAGUGUAACACUAAAUGAACAAUGUGUGACAUCAAUCUUAAAGUGUGGUUGAGACAUUCACAUUACUUACAAAUAACGACGCUGGCCAUCAUUGUGCCUUUGGUUUUACCUUGUAUAACCGGAACUGUGGCUAGUCGAGAGGGAACUCUGACAGUAAUUAACGGUGCAGUUAUGAGCAAGUUGGUUCUUUGUGGACUGAAUUAUCAAGAGUUAUCAAGAGUAAUAAAUAGUAUAACAACACUUGACCAAUUGUUAAGGAGAGUUUUUGGCGCCAGUAACCAAACUUUUAGCUUCUGUAUAUUGAUAAGUUGAAACAGUUUUCAUUGUUAGAUAAGAGUGACAAUUCAUUACAUUACCGGCAAAAUGUUCCAUGAAACAAUCUGAUGCAGCUGCUCAAAGCUAAGACCCUUCCUCUGUAUACUUCAAGACAAUUGAAUGAUGUGUGCUACUUUGAUAAAAACUCAUCUUUGAAGUUUGAAUGCUAAACGUGUCAUUUAGGCAACUGACAACCAUAAAGACCUGCUGUAGCAACGCACAAGACCAUUUUUGUUUUUAUAACUGAGAAAAACAACCCAAGGUGAGCUGAUACUGUAAUCCUUAAACUCAAAGCUGUGGCUCAUAUCAGUGCAACCUUGUCUGACAGAAGGACAAGAUACCAAUAGGUUACCUACUGUCAAUGCUGUGUGCAGGCAACUACAUGUUUCCACCUUGUAAGAUCCCAUAGAAAUUCUUUUCUUUUUGUUUAAGAGCCCCUAUGGCAGCACAGACAAUUCCUGCAGCAGGGCCAUCUGUUACUAUUUUAAUGGAAUGCUGCUAGAUAAACAAUUUGCUUAAAUACGAGUCCAAGAAGCCAAAGAAUAGGCUCAACUCAUUCACCAGCUCUGUCGACUUCUCGUAAGACAUUGAAACAUUACGAAAAGACAUCAACAGGAUGAUGAAAAUCAUUAGCUUGCAGAGGUUUAUAUCCUCACUCUGAAGGAAAAAUAACUCAUCACUUUUGAAGUUAAUCUUCAUUAUAGAAUAUGUGGCCCAAUAUAUUACCAAUUAUACACAAAAAAUAUACAUGUUACCAAAAAAUAAGAUGAAAACAAAUGAACUAAGAAGCAAAAGACGUCAACAUUUCAGAUUAUCCACAAAUUUUCAAAACCAUGAUGUUAGCAUAUAGCCACAUACAAAUUCUUGGUUGUUGCGACUUAAGACAAUACUGUGACAACCAAUCCUUGAUCAAUAUGCACAUAAAAUAAUCUGUAAUGCUUUCUAGAUUCUUCUUCUGAGUAGGCCUCUUCUCUUGUUCUGUAGUACCAGUUGUUUA
rnacentral:lncRNA from 1 species